GGCGCUGUGGCUCAGUGGGUUAAAGCGCCAGCCUUCCAUGCUGGCAUCCCAUAUUGGCACAGGUUCAAGUCCCAGCUGCUCCA
rnacentral:tRNA from 1 species